rnacentral:rRNA from 1 species
UACGAAGGGGGCUAGCGUUGUUCGGAAUUACUGGGCGUAAAGCGCACGUAGGCGGAUUGUUAAGUUAGGGGUGAAAUCCCGGGGCUCAACCCCGGAACUGCCUUUAAUACUGGCAAUCUCGAGUCCGAGAGAGGUGAGUGGAAUUCCGAGUGUAGAGGUGAAAUUCGUAGAUAUUCGGAGGAACACCAGUGGCGAAGGCGGCGCUCUGGGCCGGUACUGACGCUGAGGAGCGAAAGCGUGGGUAGCAAACAGG